UUGUUCCUACGGGGCGCAGCAGUGGGGGAUAUUGCACAAUGGGGGAAACCCUGAUGCAGCGACGCCGCGUGAGUGAAGAAGUAUUUCGGUACGUAAAGCUCUAUCAGCAGGGAAGAAUAAUGACGGUACCUGACUAAGAAGCCCCGGCUAACUACGUGCCAGCAGCCGCGGUAAUACGUAGGGGGCAAGCGUUAUCCGGAUUUACUGGGUGUAAAGGGAGCGUAGACGGAGGAGCAAGUCUGAUGUGAAAAUCCGGGGCCCAACCCCGGAACUGCAUUGGAAACUGUUUAUCUAGAGUGUCGGAG
rnacentral:rRNA from 1 species